GGCCAAUUGCCCGAGGGGUCUAAGGGGAUAGUCUGCAAAACUGUUUAUCGUAAGUUCGAAUCUUACAUUGGUCUC
rnacentral:tRNA from 1 species